rnacentral:misc_RNA from 1 species
GAUGAAGAACGCAGCGAAAUGCGAUAAGUAAUGUGAAUUGCAGAAUUCAGUGAAUCAUCGAAUCUUUGAACGCACAUUGCGCCCAUCAGUAUUCUGUUGGGCAUGCCUGUCCGAGCGUCAUUUCAACCCUCAGGGCCCGUUCGCGGGAACUGGUGUUGGGGAUCGGCCUCCCCCCGGAGGCCGGCCCCGAAAUGCAGUGGCGGCUCUACCGCGAUCUCCUCUGUGUAGUAGCGAUACCUCGCAGCUGGAUAGUGGUGGUGCCACGCCGUAAAAUCCCAACUUUACCAAGGUUGACCUCGGAUCAGGUAGGAAUACCCGCUGAACUUAAGCAUAUCAAUAAGCGGAGGA